rnacentral:rRNA from 1 species
GACGAACGACUGGCGGCGUGCUUAACAACAUGCAAGUCGAGCGGGUAAGGCCCUUUCGGGGGUACACGAGCGGCGAACGGGUGAGUAACACGUGGGUGACCUGCCCUCAGCUCUGGGAUAAGCCUGGGAAACCGGGUCUAAUACUGGAUAUGACUCCAUGACGCAUGUUGUGGGGUGGAAAGCCUUGUGCGGCUGAGGAUGGGCCCGCGGCCUAUCAGCUUGUUGGUGGGGUGANGGCCUACCAAGGCGACGACGGGUAGCCGGCCUGAGAGGGCGACCGGCCACACUGGGACUGAGACACGGCCCAGACUCCUACGGGAGGCAGCAGUGGGGAAUCUUGCGCAAUGGGCGAAAGCCCUGACGCAGCGACGCCGCGUGAGGGAUGACGGCCU